AUGAACGCUGGCGGCGUGCCUAAUACAUGCAAGUCGAACGCUUUGUGGUUCAACUGAUUUGAAGAGCUUGCUCAGAUAUGACGAUGGACAUUGCAAAGAGUGGCGAACGGGUGAGUAACACGUGGGAAACCUACCUCUUAGCAGGGGAUAACAUUUGGAAACAGAUGCUAAUACCGUAUAACAAUGACAACCGCAUGGUUGUUAUUUAAAAGAUGGUUCUGCUAUCACUAAGAGAUGGUCCCGCGGUGCAUUAGCUAGUUGGUAAGGUAAUGGCUUACCAAGGCGAUGAUGCAUAGCCGAGUUGAGAGACUGAUCGGCCACAAUGGGACUGAGACACGGCCCAUACUCCUACGGGAGGCAGCAGUAGGGAAUCUUCCACAAUGGGCGAAAGCCUGAUGGAGCAACGCCGCGUGUGUGAUGAAGGGUUUCGGCUCGUAAAACACUGUUGUAAGAGAAGAAUGACAUUGAGAGUAACUGUUCAAUGUGUGACGGUAUCUUACCAGAAAGGAACGGCUAAAUACGUGCCAGCAGCCGCGGUAAUACGUAUGUUCCAAGCGUUAUCCGGAUUUAUUGGGCGUAAAGCGAGCGCAGACGGUUAUUUAAGUCUGAAGUGAAAGCCCUCAGCUCAACUGAGGAAUUGCUUUGGAAACUGGAUGACUUGAGUGCAGUAGAGGAAAGUGGAACUCCAUGUGUAGCGGUGAAAUGCGUAGAUAUAUGGAAGAACACCAGUGGCGAAGGCGGCUUUCUGGACUGUAACUGACGUUGAGGCUCGAAAGUGUGGGUAGCAAACAGGAUUAGAUACCCUGGUAGUCCACACCGUAAACGAUGAGUGCUAGGUGUUUGAGGGUUUCCGCCCUUAAGUGCCGCAGCUAACGCAUUAAGCACUCCGCCUGGGGAGUACGACCGCAAGGUUGAAACUCAAAGGAAUUGACGGGGACCCGCACAAGCGGUGGAGCAUGUGGUUUAAUUCGAAGCAACGCGAAGAACCUUACCAGGUCUUGACAUCCCUUGACAACUCCAGAGAUGGAGCGUUCCCUUCGGGGACAAGGUGACAGGUGGUGCAUGGUUGUCGUCAGCUCGUGUCGUGAGAUGUUGGGUUAAGUCCCGCAACGAGCGCAACCCUUAUUACUAGUUGCCAGCAUUCAGUUGGGCACUCUAGUGAGACUGCCGGUGACAAACCGGAGGAAGGUGGGGAUGACGUCAAAUCAUCAUGCCCCUUAUGACCUGGGCUACACACGUGCUACAAUGGCGUAUACAACGAGUUGCCAACCCGCGAGGGUGAGCUAAUCUCUUAAAGUACGUCUCAGUUCGGAUUGUAGGCUGCAACUCGCCUACAUGAAGUCGGAAUCGCUAGUAAUCGCGGAUCAGCACGCCGCGGUGAAUACGUUCCCGGGUCUUGUACUCACCGCCC
rnacentral:rRNA from 1 species